GGGCGAGCGCGCACUUUCAGCAUGCAACGUGGAAAAGUAUAAAGCUUCCUGAGUGACCUUUGGCCAGUUAUUAUCCAUAGUUUCACUGAGAAAUUGUGAGGAUUGCUGGAGAAAUGGUUGUUGAAGAUGACAGAACUAGUGGAAAUGGCAAAAUUAACUUGUUUGAUUAAUGAAUGAUUAACAGGAACAACAUUUUAAAAGGAAUAUUACUAAUAGACUCAAAUAUGCUCAAUAGAAAUUAGUCUACGCUGCAUCAUAGAACCUCUUCUUGACAUUGCUCAACAACCAAGAUAGUUUUCUCAGAU